rnacentral:rRNA from 1 species
AACGUAGGAGACAAACGUUAUCCGGAGUUACUGGGCGUAAAGGGCGUGUAGGUGGUUUCGUAAGUCUGGCGUGAAAUUUUUCGGCUUAACCGGGAAAGGUCGUCGGAUACUGCGGAACUAGAGGACGGUAGAGGCGUGUGGAAUUCCGGGUGUAGUGGUGAAAUGCGUAGAGAUCGGAAAGAACACCAACGGCGAAAGCACUCUGCUGGGCCGACACUGACACUGAGAGACGAAAGCUAGGGGAGCGAACGGG